rnacentral:lncRNA from 1 species
GCCUCUAUAUAUAUAUAUAUAUCAGGGCCCUUCCAAUGAGGGAUCCUAUUUUUUUGUUCUAUUUCUAGGGAUAGGGUAUUUGACAAACUUCCCGAUCACUAAAUCACAUCUCCACCGUUCAGUUUGUAGGUGUAUAUGAGUAGAUUACUUCUACAAAUUUUCAGAAAAUUUGGUGAUCUUCAAGUCAUCCAAAUGUUUGAUUUAUUUUUAAUAAUCUUGAACAAUGUAGGUUUGACAUAAGUGUAAAGUUUUUUGUUUUAAUCUCAACCAUCCAAGCCCAUUAAAAAACAGAUCUAAUGGUGUGGGCCUAUCCCUAAAAGUGACAAAAAAUAGGGAUCCCUCAUUGGAAGGUAUAUAUAUACAGGAAUUCUUAGGUGCGGACGUCCGCACCAAAGUUUUGGUGCGGAUUUCUAUUUUUGCAUCACUUCCCGAUCGAAUUUCCUUCUAGACAUAUCUAGAUCAUCUUGUGUAGAUCAUCUUUGCAAAAUUUCAGCCAAUUUGGUGAUCGUUAAGGCUCUCAAAAUCGAAAAACAAAUCUGACGGACUGAAUUUUGUCCGGUUCAUCAUCUCCAUUUGUUUUUCGAUUUUGAGGGCCUUAACAAUCACCAAAUUGGCUGAAAUGUUGCAGAGAUGAUCUACACAAGAUAAUCUAGAUAUGUCUAGAAGGAAGUUUGAAGAAAUUCG